rnacentral:tRNA from 2 species
UCGGGGUGGCGGGAUUUGAACCCACGACCUCUUCGUCCCGAACGAAGCGCGCUACCAAGCUGCGCCACACCCCG